rnacentral:lncRNA from 1 species
UUAUUUUUUAUCAACUCAAUUAAUCCAACUCAGCCCAACACAUCCCGAUAAUUUAAAAGUUGGAUUCGUUUUGGUUAAAUAUAUUUAUUUAGUUGAAUUAUGUUAAUUUUUUGGCAACCCAAUUAGUAGUGAGUUGGAUUAAAUUUUCACAGGCCCAUUCCAAUCUAACCCAUACCCACCCUUAGGCUGCACAGUUAAUGAAACGGUGUCCAAGUCCAACAAACAACCCUGAUAGGUGACAAAUGGAAAUCACCAGCUAAAUUUUCGUUUUUUCACUUUCACUUUUGUGUUAUAUUCUUUAUAUACUAAGCACGUAUAUUUUGUUGACAAUUAGAUUGAUAUCACUAAAUAGUUGAUAAAUCAAUGCCACAAGUUGGAUUUUUUUUUUCAUUUUCAUAUUAUAUUCUUUAUUUACUAACCAUCAAUCACUCAUAUAUAUUUUGUUGAUAAUUCGUAUUUUGUUGAUAAUUUGUAACCAGCAAAUAGCUGCGAUACCACUGUUUAGAUUUUCAUUUCUUUUUCCCAUUUUCCCUCUUAAAAUUUUAAGUUGAAAUAUGAUCCUUUUAUAAUAUGAGCCUCACAAGUUCACGAAAAUGUAUUAUGGGUGCGUUUGACAUACUUUAUUUGUUGUAUUGCAUUAAGGUACAUUGUGAAAAGAUUUUAUUCAACGGUAUGUUUGGUGUAGCAUAGACUGUAUUAUAUAAAAUAAUGGUAAAUGUUUGUUCAGUCCUUAUAUUUUAAAAAAAUGUCUCAAAAUAUCCCUACUGUUAAACAUGAUACACUUUUAUCCUUACUUUUUUUUACUUUUACAAUAAUACUCAUGCAAUAAUAUUUUUUACAUUAAUUUUUUUA